GCAGCUUGUAAAACAAAAGAUGUUGUUAGGAGACAUUCCAAAGACUCGGUGCAACGAGCAUUGCUUGUGUCCGUUUCAAAUGAUUGGCAAACAGCUGCUAUCAUAAAGCACUUCCAAAAUACAGCUCUUUUCUCAAUAAAAAGAGAGGCUUCCACAACCAAACCCAUAUCUCCAUUAGCCCUGAGAACGACAAGAUGAAUUUCAGCCAUGAUGGUGCGUUUUGACGAACUUCUUAAUGGUUUCUACUUUUAACGACUAGAACUAAAUGAAAAAUAAUUAUCGUUCAUACAGGAAUCCCUGCAGAAAGCGGGCUGUCUCCAAGUCAAGAGGGUUAUAUCCCAGUAGAGUCUCCGAUUUAUUAUACAGAUUCAGCAGCUAGUCCUUUACACAGUGAAGAAAUUUCUCAAAGGGCUUCCUCAGGGUUGACCAAUCACA